UGUGCAGGCGGUUCGGCAAGUUGGAUGUGAAAUCUCCCGGCUCAACUGGGAGGGGUCGUUCAAUACUACCGAACUUGAGGGCAUCAGAGGAAGGUGGAAUUCCGGGUGUAGUGGUGAAAUGCGUAGAUAUCCGGAGGAACACCAGUGGCGAAGGCGGCCUUCUGGGAUGAUCCUGACGCUCAGACACGAAAGCUAGGGGAGCGAACGGGAUUAGAGACCCCGGUAGUCCUAGCUGUAAACGAUGUAGACUUGGCGUCGGAGGGUUCAAAACCUUCGGUGUCGUAGCUAACGCGAUAAGUCUACCGCCUGGGGACUACGGCCGCAAGGUUAAA
rnacentral:rRNA from 1 species